CGUGGGCGGCGGUGCUUACACAUGCAGUCGAACGGUGAAGUCCCAGCUUGCUGGGAUGGAUCAGUGGCGAACGGGUGAGUAACACGUGAGCAACCUGCCCUCCACUUCGGGAUAAGCCUUGGAAACGGGGUCUAAUACCGGAUAUGAGCCUGCAUCGCAUGGUGUGGGUUGGAAAGUUUUUCGGUGGGGGAUGGGCUCGCGGCCUAUCAGCUUGUUGGUGGGGUGAUGGCCUACCAAGGCGUCGACGGGUAGCCGGCCUGAGAGGGCGACCGGCCACACUGGGACUGAGACACGGCCCAGACUCCUACGGGAGGCAGCAGUGGGGAAUAUUGCACAAUGGGCGCAAGCCUGAUGCAGCGACGCCGCGUGAGGGAUGACGGCCUUCGGGUUGUAAACCUCUUUCAGCAGGGAAGAAGCGCAAGUGACGGUACCUGCAGAAGAAGCGCCGGCUAACUACGUGCCAGCAGCCGCGGUAAUACGUAGGGCGCAAGCGUUGUCCGGAAUUAUUGGGCGUAAAGAGCUCGUAGGCGGUCUGUCGCGUCUGGUGUGAAAUCCCGAGGCUCAACCUCGGGCUUGCAUCGGGUACGGGCAGACUAGAGUGCGGUAGGGGAGACUGGAAUUCCUGGUGUAGCGGUGGAAUGCGCAGAUAUCAGGAGGAACACCGAUGGCGAAGGCAGGUCUCUGGGCCGCAACUGACGCUGAGGAGCGAAAGCAUGGGGAGCGAACAGGAUUAGAUACCCUGGUAGUCCAUGCCGUAAACGUUGGGCACUAGGUGUGGGGGCUCAUUCCACGAGUUCCGUGCCGCAGCUAACGCAUUAAGUGCCCCGCCUGGGGGAGUACGGCCGCAAGGCUAAAACUCAAAGGGAAUUGACGGGGGCCCGCACAAGCGGCGGAGCAUGCGGGAUUAAUUUCGAUGCAACGCGAAGAACCUUACCAAGGC
rnacentral:rRNA from 1 species